GGGAAAAUUCUUUGAGGGAAAAAGAGGGGGAAGUCUUUGAGGGAAAAAAAUUGGGGAAAAGAGGGGGAAGUCUUUGAGGGGAAAAUUCAGAGGGGGAAAAUCUUUAAGGGGAAAAGAGGGGAAAAAUCUUUGAGGGGGAAGAUUCUCUGAGGGGAAGAUAGGGGAAAAGAGGGGGAAAUUCUCUGAGGGGAAAAGAUGGGGAAAUUGGGGAAAAGUAUUUGAGAGGGGAAAAGCUUCCAGCGCUCUAAUUCGCUGUGGAUGUAUCAGGUACAUCCGAGGUAGUUAACGACUGUUUUGUUGGAUGUACCCGAUAUGGCAUAUGUCACAAGUUUAAGCUGCAAUGGUUCUGGUGACUAGUGUCCCUUUAAGAAUUGUAUUUAACGUUGAAAAAUCUGACUCCUAGAUUCUAAGCAAACUUGUCAAGCCCUGCUCAAAUGCAUUAACCAUUUGCUCUUCAAUGUAUUAGAGACAAACACUUAUUUGCCAUGCACUUUUUAUACAAAAGUGAUUACAGUAAAUCUUUUAGUUUAAAA